rnacentral:rRNA from 1 species
GACGAACGCUGGCGGCGUGCCUAAUACAUGCCAGUCGAGCGCAGAAGGUUGGUACUUGUACCAAGCGGAAGAGCAGCGAACGGGAGAGUAACGCGUGGGGAAUCUGCCUGUGAGCGGGGGACAACAUGGGGAAACGAGUGCUAAUACCGCAUAAAAACUUUAAACACAAGGGUGAAGGGUGAAAGAUGCAAGUGCAUCACUCAAAGAUGAUCCCUCGUCGUAUUAGCGAGGUUGUGAGGUACAGGCGCACCAAGGCGAUGAUACAUAGCCCCCCUGAGAGGGUGGUUGGCCGCCUUGGGACUGUGACCCGCCCCAUACUCCUACAGGUGGCACCAGUACGGCAUCUUCGGCCAUGGACGAAAGUCUGACCGAGAACCGCCGCGUGAGUGCACAACGUUUUCGCGUCGUAAAACUCUGUUGUUAGAGAAUAACGUUGGUGCGAGUGGAAAGCUCCUCAAGUGACGGUAACUACUCAGAAAGGGACGGCUAACUACGUG